rnacentral:rRNA from 1 species
AUUGAACGCUGGCGGCAGGCCUAACACAUGCAAGUCGAACGAGUGGCGGACGGGUGAGUAAUGUCUGGGAAACUGCCUGACGGAGGGGGAUAACUACUGGAAACGGUAGCUAAUACCGCAUACCAUCGGAUGUGCCCAGAUGGGAUUAGCUAGUAGGUGGGGUAAAGGCUAACCUAGGCGACGAUCCCUAGCUGGUCUGAGAGGAUGACCAGCCAAACUGGAACUGAGCAACGGUACAGACACCUACGGGAGGAAGCAGUGGUGACUAUGGCACAAUGUGCGGAAGCCUGAUGCAGCCAUGCAGCGUGUAUGAAGAAGGCCUUCGGUUUGGAAAGUACUUUCAGCGGGGAGGCGUUACCCGCAGAAGAAGCACAGGCUAACUCCGUGCCAGCAGCCGCGGUAAUAC